CAGAAGCGGUGAUGAUGAAGACGCAACGUCACUGUCCUGAAAACCACUGAUGGCUUUAAGUCACUACCUCAUCUGAGCUUCCA
ensembl:snoRNA small nucleolar RNA SNORD11B